UCUUGGUAUUCUGGGAGCUACCAUUACUUGCACGCCCUCUGGUGGUAUUGAUGUGUCUAUGUUGUGUUCUGAAACUAUUGAUUUGUCUGAUGUUCCUUCCUCUGUGUGGGCUUCAUCUAAGUUAGAUGUAGGAUUUGUCAACUGCACCCCUUACAAAGCCAAACUAAAACCAGAUGUAACUCCUAUCUACCUUAAACAGUAC